rnacentral:lncRNA from 10 species
AGGAGAGGCCCCGGUUCCCCGGGCCGGUCAGGUUUUCCUUGUUCCCGCAUGUUCAGCCAAUCGUGUUUAAGGAGAAACUAACAAUGAAAACGGGCUUGUUGAUGGAGGAAAAGUUGGAAUGCAGCCUCUGGUGCUGUUUGAGCGAUCCCUCUAUCCCGGGUCGCUGCUGUGUUCUGGAAAGGCACAUUGUACCCUGGAUGCAGCAGCUUCAUCAGCAAUGGAAGUGGCUGAUAUGUGGACUCUGCAGAUUAUAUAACCUUCCUAAGCACCCGAAUGUUGAGAUGCCAGAUCAACCACUACCCAUGGGUCAGAAUGGGACAACAGAAGAAGUGACUUCAAAAGAAGAGGAAGAAGAAGAGAUGGA